rnacentral:lncRNA from 1 species
CUGCAGAGCUUGGUUUUCAAAAUAAAUAAUGACUUAAAACGGCCACUAUUUAUCACUAUAACAGAAAAUAAAGAAAUAAGAAAGAUUGUUUGCAUUCCUAAAAAAAAAAUUGUUAGCUCGAGUGAAAAGUACUCUGGCAAGAUUUUUUUUUAUCCUUUUUCGUGCGGACGAUUUACUCUUGUUAAUUUGCACUGAGCCACAAUUUAUUUGUUAGCCACCAUAAACUUUAAGAUUUCAAAAGACACUAUUUUAUUUAGAUGAACGGUGAAAAUGUCAAAUACUAGCUGCUUUCUUUAAACCACCCUCCACCUUGAGCAAAAAAAGAAAAAGAACACAUACGCACAAACACACACACACAAAAAAAAAAAAAAAGCUGCUUCAUCUAUAUUUCUCUUGAUUAAAUUUGCUAGUUAAUAUAAAUUAAUAAAAAAAUCUUUUGAAACCAAUGCAGCAUUAUAGUUGCUAUUUAAAAGCUUACGCUUGAAAGGAGCGUUUCUAUUUCCAUCAC